AACAACAAAAAAAUGCUUGCUUAAAUCAAGGUUUCAAAGUGUAAAUAUGUACGACGAUGACAGUCGCUAUUGUGACGAGUUUUUAUCUGCAGAUCACAGACGAAAAAUAAAAACACUAAUGGGAUAACACAAUAGCUGGUGUGUAAAAGUGUGCUUGAGAAAAACAACUGCCAAAAACAGCAACAAGUAACAAAAAGCAUUAAAUGUGGAGUUAGUACCAAGUGUCACUACUAUCACAUUGGUUUUCAAUCACAAUACAAAAAUUAAAAAAGGGGGAGGGGAGCCCAUCUGUUGCAUUAAUGAAACGUAGAUGCAACACAUGGCAACGGUAAUGACAUGACCCCAUGAAUCUUUCUAAAGCAGGCGCACCCAAAUAACAAGAGGACAUACAAUAACAAUGGAAACAAAAGCUGCAAACAAAGAAGCAACAAAAACAGCCAACAACAGCAACAAAAAAGAUUCAGCAACAAAAUGUGAAUAAC